GCUCUCCCCCUCCUUCCUCCCCACCCCCCCCCCUCCCCGCGAUCUCCCGUGCGGUGCCCUGAGCGCUGGAGGCUGACGUCAGGAGCCUGAAUUCCUGACUUUGCCUGCACGCAUUUGUCCAUGUAAGGUAUGGGGAGGCGUGUGCCCGCGGGGCCGCUGCAGUAGCCGGGCGGGGAGGGGGCGCGGCGGGCAGCGCCCGCUCGAGGUGGGCGACCCUGGGCAGUGCACUUCCUGGAGGAGGGGACGCGGGGGUGCAGGGAGCAUGGGAAGAGGAAGGGAAAGAGGGAUCUGCCUCCACUGGAGGAAGAGGAAGGAGAUGCAGGAGGAAGUCGAGAAACCGGCACACUCGGGUCGGCUCUGCAGGCGACAAAUUGGGAGGCUGAGCUGGAACGAGGAGAUCCUGCCGUGGAACACCCCCUCACCCCCCACUCCCUCCACCCUAAGAGCCUCGUCGGAGCCCCGCCCAGGACUCCAGCAGGACUCAGAACUACGGGAUGGUGGAGUACAACUUCGGUUCACUUCACACACGUGAGAGCGCCGAAGCUCUCAGGAGCUGGGACCUGACCCAGCCGUACACUGAGCAGAUCUAGGAGCAGAUCCCAUUCUCUACUCCCGGCUGGGUUUCCGCCUCCAGGCAGGACCCAAGCUCGGGCGCUGUGAGCUCAGAACCAAGUUAGACCUGGGCAGAUGACUCGACCACCCACUGAAGUGACUAGCCCCAGUUCCUGGAAGGUUGUGGUUCACAAGCCUUGAGCAACAGUGGCAAUCAGGGCAACUUCCUGUCCUUUGUUCAAAGAAAUGAACCUUUGGAGUUUAAGAUUUACUUCCCAACCCUGCCCUGCCCCAAAACCAGAAAGCUUGCUCUGUUCUUACAGCUUAAAAAAGAAAAUACACGAACUGGGUGAGCUGGUUUCAAUAAAGACAGGCCUGUUCUUGGAAGGUUGGGGUUGGAUUUUUUUUUUUUUUUUGUCUUUGAUAUUUGUAAAAGUGAGCAAAAAUGAGAUCCCCAUUUACUACGUUAAGACAUGGGCUAGGAGGUACUGGAGGCCCUCUGGCCCCCAGGCCUGAAAGCUUUUAAUCCCAGCACAAGGGAGGCCGGUCUAUGUGGACCCUGUCACAAACAAAACAGCCUCUGAUUUGUUCUUUUUGUGUUUCUGUCGUGUUCCUACACAAAAGAAAUGCCUCACCUCAGCCCACCCUAAGGGCUCUCCCACCUGUUACUACCGUCUCAGGUGGCUUAGAUGAAUAUGGCACAAGGCAACUGUCUGAGCAAGCUCCUGACUCUGCCACUCUCAGGCCUCCUUCGGUGCCCUCUGUGGGCCCUGACCCCCUGCAGCCUAACCCAGUCAUGCACAUAGAAAGUACACCAAGAACCACAGGCGCAGGGAAGCUCAACCGUGGUGCUUUUCAGGUUAGAUUUUUGAUGAACCUUUCUGACUAAGAAUUAAGCACAUUAAGUGUCAAAGUACAUAUUCUUGUACUUAACAUUUAUUGAACAACGCCUCUCCUGCGGUCUUCAAAUUCAAAGCUACUUAACCCCUUUGCCCUCUCAACUUUCCCAGCUACACAUUCAAAAGUAGGAAUGCAGCAGGAGAGAUCAAGAGUACCGUGCAUUCCACGCAAUAAUGAAAUAUUUUCUCUUUAUAAUUAACCCGAUAUCAGGCAGGAAGCAUGAGCUCCUGAAGUUCAGACUUUAAAAGAUCACAAUUUAUUCACUCUGUCUUAAGCAAUUUGGCCGAUCUAUGUCCUGUGUGCUACUAUUUAGUAUGGGGAAAUCGCCCAGUGCUCAUUUAGACGUAGCGGAACUUGACCAGCAUAGCUUGCUCACUUUUAUUCCCUUCUCAGUAACCCACUUAUAAAGAAUAAUAGGGUUCUAAUGAGGAUUAAUAAAAUUUAAUAAGGUAUAAUUAGAGUCAUUCAUUUCCUCCAUCAUACACAUUGUAAGAGUGCUGUGUUGAUCCAGAAAUGCUACUAAUUAUGUUGAAACUGUUCUGUGUGUUAGGGAAGAUCACUGUGUUGCUUUUCCUGAAAUACUGAUGAAUUGCUCAGGUAGGCAUGGUGCUGGCAUGAGCACUAUAGAAAGUUAAUCACGAAAAGGUAAUUGCAACUCAUGAGGCACUCACCAGGAGUGUAAGUGACAAAGUCAUAAAUUGGAUGUUUGGUGAACCACAUGCCGGGCCAUCAGGAGUCCUAACCCAAACCAGAAGCCUCAUUCCGCUUUGUGGUUCUGCUUUCUAUUGUCCCCUCACGAGCCGUGUGCAGAGACUUGGGCCCGAUCGAAAGUUUGCUCACACUGGCAAGCACGGUGCAGUCGAAAUACUGAUUUACCAUUGCAGGGAAUAAAGGCAGGACAGGAUUUCAGAUGAGUUGGAGGGCGUGGCCCUGUGACCUGAGGAAGGCUCAGGGUUGAUAGGAAGCUUUGUCAAUGGUCCAGUGCUGGCACAAAACACAGGCAGGCUGACUGACCCUGCUACUACGUUGUAUUCAUCACAGACCUACACCUGAGGGCUUCACAGAAGUCAUGAUAACAUUUUUCUGGAGUCUGUGUCAGGCGGACUUUUCCUCUGCAAUUCACUGAACUCGCAAAUCCCUUGGAGGGACUGAUGUUAUUUCUGUCGUUGGUACAUGAGGAAAUGAAAGCCAAAGGAAGCUAAGCAGCUUGUUCUUAAUACUAGUUCUUGAGUACACUGAGAUUCCACGGUGAGCCCUGGAAGCCUGGCGCCUCUCUUCCCACUGCGGAGUGGCCAUCUGCUCUCAGUGUGAGCCUUCCAUUUUAGGGGGGCUCGUAAUCUGCAGCAGUGGGAAGGAAGAGCACAGAGGAGCCUACAGGAGCAAUCGGAAGCCCGUGAUGGCCGGGGAAGAUGGGAGGCCGGAUCACUCUGAUGGUGCUUCAUCCAGGCCAGACUCCUCAGGACGGUUUGCACAGGCCUUGAUGAUUUGUCACUAACUUGGGCCUUCCGCUGCAUUUCUACAGCCCUGAAAAGACCUCCAGCUGUGGCCAGUUGAAGUUAGGGCCCUCCUAAGCACAGCUGCUCCCCCCACCCCUCCCCGUCUUCAUUAGUCUGUGCACAGGUUCUACUCUAAGGAACAAGCUUCUCCAUCUGCCUGGCAACUCUUCCAGCUCCUGUGCAAUCCCAUCCCCCCUGAGGACUCCUCUCUCCCCUCUGCCACCUCCAGAGCACUCCUUGCUCUGUGUUUAGGACCUCAGACACUGUUGGCUAAUGUGUCUUUUCCUCCAACUUUACUCAGAGUAUACUCACAUCUAGAGUCCCUAACAUCAUUCCUGCCUUGGUCAUUCAUUGUAGGCACUCGGUGCUUUGAUUACUUUUACCUUUCUGUUGACCUUGUCCAAAGACAGAAAAAUAGAGAAGGUAGAAGGCCCGAGUGUUUAAAUAGCCAGAGAACUACAUCAGGAAAUGAGAUCUGGAUGCAAGCAGGCCAAAGAGAAGGUAGAGAAAGAAUCAAGAGACCAAAUUUUUGAAGGUAACACCAAGACUGGUUCAUGGCGGCACACAGGAGAGGAAGCCUAGUAGGCCCUGAUUUACCUCCAGACUGAUGUGCAAUCUCACUCUCCAGGAGUCACUGCCUCCGUGGUCUCAAUUUCUUUCUCCCAUGCAAUUAAAUUCUUGGAUUUGAUGUUCUACAACAUUCUCUCCAGCUCCCAAGCUUGAUUCUGCAUUCUCCUCAAUAACCAAGUUUAUCUUUACAAAACACAGCAUGACACUUUUAACUUGCAGAGGAGCCUUAAUAUCACUAAACUUCAGUGCAAACCCUUCAAUUGCCCUUUCACAUUCCCUAAACAAGUCCUGGUGGGUUUUUCCCAAAACGUAGGCUCCACCUCAGUCCUCCACCAGUCCUAACCCCUCUAUCUCACACACACUGUUGGUCUCUUCUUCCCUCUCUCUCUCUUCUGCCUCUCUUGCCCUCUCCUCCCAACCGAGGCGGGGGGAUUCCUUCACUUGCUUCAGGUUUUUUCUCAGUUUCUUCCUCAUACUGAACCUUAAAGACUUCAAGACCCAUCCUCCCCAAUGCAAAUUCUGCCUGUCCUGCUGACCUCCCAGAAGGUAUGAUCUUACCAUUGCCUAGUCUUUCACGUGGCCUCCAUUCAUGUGGAAAUAACCUUUCUGCCUUCUAAGAGCAGUACAUACUUGCUGGUCCCUUUGCUCUAUAUUUUUCAGAUGAGUUUGAGCCCUUCUUGCCUGUCUUAAUUAGGGAUUCUACUGCUGUGAUGAAACACCAUGACCAAAGCAACUUGGGGAAGAAAGGGUUUAUUCACCUUAUACUUCCGCAUCUCAGUUUAUUAUCAAAGAAAGUCAGGACAGGAACUCAAGUAGGGCAGGAACCUAGAGGCAGGAGCUGAUGCAGAGGCCACAGAGGGGUGCUGCUUAUUAGCUUGCUUCCCAUGACUUGCUCAGCCUGUUUCUUGUAGAACCCAGGGCCACCACAUCAGUCACUAAUUAAGAAAAUGCCUUAGAGCUGCAUCUUACAGAGGUAUUUUCUCAAUUGAGGUUCCCUCCUUUCAGAUAUCUCUGGCUUGUGUCAAGUUGACAUAAGACUAGCCAGCACACUGUCUGUCCCCUGUAAAUGCUUGACGGUAGUUUUGUGUUUCCUGAUUUGCAUUCUUUUCAUACCCACCAACAAUUACCUAGCAUUUAUAACUAAAUGUUAAUGAGAGAGAGAAAAAAAUCCUUUACCUUGUCUACAAAAGCAACCCAAAUGAUAUAUCUUCUCCAGAAGAUUGGCCAUGUACCCUAGACUAACACUGGACAGGCAAAAGGCAAGGCAAAGGAAACGUGAUAGUUGUUAUUUGUUACAUUGUGUUCUUUGAGCCCUUUGAGGACUCAUAACAUUUUGUACACAUAAGUUUUAUAAACUGAGUAUAUCAGUAUGUUACAAGAACACAUCUGCAAUUAAAACAAUGGCUGUCUUACCACUUUGUAACAAAUUUGUCAUAAAAAUGCCAGGUCAUGGUGCUGGGGGAUGUCUUUCUGUAUGCUGUGAUUAUAUGUUGUUCCCGUUGGUUAAUAAAUAAGCUGUUUUGGCUUAUGGCAAGGCAGCUUAGAGGCAGGCAGGAAAAAGAAAGAUGGAGUCUGAAGAGACACCAGCCUGCUGCCCAAGGAGCAACAAGCCAGCAGACUGGUAAAGCCAUGGAACAGGUUGCAAAACAGAUUAAUAGAAGUGGGUUAAUUUAAGAUAUAAGAGCCAGCUAGCAAGAGGCCUGCCACAGGCCAUACAGUUUGUAAACAAUAUUAAGCCCCUAAGUGAUUAUUUUAUAAGCGGCUGCAGGACCUUGGGGCCAGGCAGGACCAAGAAAACAUACAUCUACAUCAUGGACAUGGUUGAGAUGCAGUCUGUCUCUUAUGGUCCCCAGUGUGGCACUUUGAGGUGACAAGAUCUUUAAGAGAUGGUGUUUAGUGAGAGACACUUGGGUCAUUGCAAUCCCUGCCCUUGAAGCUGUUAAUGGAUAAGGCCACUCACCUGUGACUCCUAGGUAUUUCUCAUAAGAAAAUUGUUAUAAAAGGAGAAAGCUUGCUCCCUCCUCCCCUCUUUACUUCCCAAUCUGAGAUGUGACUACUUGCUCCUACCACACAAUACCUACUGUCUUAGUUAGCGUUUCUAUUGCUGUGAGGAGGUACCAUGACCACAGCAACUCUUAUAAAGGAAAACAUUUAAUUGAGGUGGCAGAUUAUAGUUUCAGAGGUUCAGUCCAUUAUCAUCAUGGCAGGGAGCAUGGCAGAAUGUAGGCAGACAUGGUGCUGGAGAAUUCUACAUCUUGAUCCAAAGGUAACAGGAAGUGAACUGAGAUGGAGUGACUUGAUCAUAUAUGAGGCCUCAAAGCCUGCCUCCACAGUGACACACUUCCUCCAACAAAGCCACACUGCUCCAAGGAAGCCACACCAAAUAGUGCCACUCCCUUCGGGGUCCAUUUUCUUUCAAACAACCACAUUCUACUCCCUGAUCUCCAAAGGUUUGUAGCCAUAUCAUAAUGCAAAAAUGUAUUCAGUCCAACUUCAGAAGUCCUAUAGUCUGUAACAGUCUCAAACUUACUUAAAAGUCUAAGAUUCAUGUGAUCUCUUAACUAUAAUCCCCUGUAAAAUCAAAAAUCAAAAUGAAAGAGCAGAUCAUGUACUUCCAACAUAGACAUGCACAGGAUAUAUAUUACCAUCCCAAAACAUAGGGAAGGGAGCAUAGCAAAGAAAUACUGGACCAAAGCAAGACCAAAGACCAGCUGGGCAAACUCCAAACUCUGUAUCUCCAUGUGUGAUGUCAAGAUGCUCCUCAGAUUUCCAACUCUGUUGUGGAAUAUUACUUUAAGAUGUGUUACAUUCUUUUAGGCUGUAGAAUAUUUGUUUAAUGAUACAAAGAUGUGUUGCAUUCUUUUAUGUUGCAUUUAUUUAUUUAGCAUUUAUGAAGCUGUGUUACUUUGCUUGCCUGAAACACCUGAUUAUUCUAAUAAAGAGCUGAAUGGCUGAUAGGUAGGCAGGAGAGAGAAAUAGGUGAGGUUGGCAGGCAGAGAGAAUAAAUAGAAAAGAGAGAAGGGUGAGAAAAGGAGGAGGGGAGGAUUUUUGUGUGGUAUUUGGUUUGUGUCCUGACAAAUAAAGCUUGCCUGGAGAUCAGAGGGUGGUGUUAGCCACUAGUUAACCAUGGAGGCCAGGUGGUGGUGACUCACACCUUGAUCCCAGCACUUGGGAGGCUCACCCCUUUAAUCCCAGCACAAUCGAGAGGUGGAGACAGGAAUAUAAGGCAGGUGGAGACAGGAUCUCAGCCCCCCAUUUGGUCUGAGGAUUUGUAGAGGUAAGAAGUUUCUAGUGGCUGCCGCUCUGCUUCUCUGAUCUUUCAGCAUUUACCCCAAUAUCUGGCUCUUGGUUUUUAUUAAUAAGACUAAUUAGGAUCAUGCUUCCUUCAGGCACACAACAUGAGGCAUGACUUUGCCAAAAAGCUGCUUGCCUGUGGCUUUGUAGCCCCCAGCAGACGCUGGACCUGCAUGUGGGGGCUCCCGCUGGAGGCUGGAGUCACUGCCUCGACAGCCAGUUUUCCUUUCUUUUUUUCCUCAAGCCCUCCGAGCAAGUCUGAUAUUUUUCUGUUGCAGCCUCUCUGCAGCAAACUCCACAGGGCUUGGGCUCCAAACACCGCCAGAGUUAGCCCCUUAGCACUGGCCAGCUCUGCCUUCAGGCAACUUCUGCUGCCUGUGCUUCUUCCCCAUAACCCUCUGCAUUUUUUCAGCCAGCCAGCUCCCUCUCCCGGUGGGUUGUGGGCUUUCCCUGGACCCCCUCAUCUGGAUUCUGCCACACUAGCUGGCUGCCUUGACACCCGCUCGGGCUUCUACCAUUCUAUGCAGCAGCUGUCAGCCUUGGACUUCACUGUCAACUUCACCGUCAUCAGCAGCAGAUUUGGUGACACAAUGGGGAAUUCUUAAAGGGGGGAAUUAGUUUGUUUUUUUUUUAAAAAAAGAGAGAGAUUUUUCCCACAUUAAAAAUUGGGAAACACUAUUACAAUGGAGGGAGUCAUUUCUCUGUAAGAUUAUGCAAUGCAUGGUUUAAAAAUGCAACAAUUAAAUGAAGGGAUAAUCAACUGGGAUUGACACAAUGUUAAUUAUCAUUUUGACAAUUCUUAUUAUCAGUUCAAUAACUCUUGGUUUAUCUCAAAAAAAAAAAGUUGGUUGGUAGGUGUUCCAAGAUACAAGCCUUAGAAAAACUUAUUGAAACAGAUCAUAGAGAUAUUCAGUCCCAGCCAGAGGAAUUUAAAGGAGAACCAAUCUUACCAUUACAUUAUAAAAUUAGGAACAUCACAAGGUUUUCAAACAACCAACCUUAAUUUAUCCAGACACAUUACAGGAACAACUGCCAAAUGACAGAUAUCCACAAGGCUAUGUAAGAGCUGACUGGAUUACUGUAGAAAUGUUAGGUUUGAGAAGAUUUAAGGAAGCGAUAGUAUCAUAUGGUAUGCAUUCACCUUUUGUGAGGCAGAUGUUAACUUCAUGGUCAACUAGUAACAGAAUUGUCUCACAAGACUGGAGAGACUUGGUUACAGCAGUAUUGGUACCUGGUCCUCAAUUACAGUGGAGGACCUGCUGGAAAGAUGAGGCUAGGACCAUUGAACAAUGAAGUAGGGCUAGAGGUAUUGAAAUCUCCCAAGAACAACUUCUUGGAGGAGAUUAUGCUGAUGUACAAAGACAGUCUCUAUAUGAUGACCACACCCUGGCUCUAUGCCAUGCAGCAGCUUUAAAUGCUUGGGACAGAAUUGAAGAACUUGGAAAGAGAACUGAGUCAUUUACUAAAGUUAUACAGGGUCCGAAAGAAACCUUCACUGAUUUUUUUUUAAACAAAGAUUGACUUCAGCUAUGAAUAGAAUGAUACCAAAUUCAGAAACUUGUCAAAUAAUAAUUGAAUCUUUGGCUUUUGAAAAUGCUAAUUCAUAAUGCAAAUGGGUAAUUAGUCUGUUAAAGGCAAGAUCAGCAUCCAUAGAGUAAUGGAUCCUAGAUACAGUCAAUAUUGAAUCUCAUAACCACAACAAUGCUUAAAUAGGAGAGGUGAUUUCCAGAGACUUGAAGAAAAAUCAAAAUGACAAGUGUUUUAAUUGUGGCAAACAAGGUCACUUAAAAAGAGAUUAUAAACAGGGCAUUCCUAGAAACAAUGUUUUUUCUAGGAAUAAUCCAAACAGAAGACCCCUCCCUUCUGGAUUAUGCAGAAGGUAUGGCAAAGGCCAAUAUUGGACACAUGAAUGCAGAUCAACAAGGGACAGACAGGUAACCCUUUGCCAUCAGGAAAGCCUUAGUGGUCCUCUUGCAGGCCCCCACUUCAAAUUUGGUUCAGUCAUUCCCUGUCAUAGUAGGGGAAACUCCUCCACAGAGCAACUAAAAGAUCUAAUGGCUAUUGUAAAAAACAUAUUGCUCUGCAUGAUAGAACAGCUUUAGAAGAUAAAGCAAUUUCAGAAGAAACCAGAAUAAAAGAGAUCUCCUGAUUAGAAGAGACGAUAGUUCAUCAACCACCAUGACCAUUUAAUCUAAACUAACUUAUAAGGCUAACAGAUGCUUUUCAUUUGAUCAGAUAUAACUUGCCAAAAGGGAAACUCCCCAAAGUUAGGGUUGGGACAAGGUUUUGUUUUUGUCUUUCCAGGAGAAUGAUGACAUUCAGCUAAGGAAUCUGAAGAUCAUGGGACAAAUGAGGCAUGUGGGAAAAAAAAAAAAAAAAGGAUGAAUCAUCCAGAGAAAAUAUCCCAAGCAAAAGAGUAAAUUGUUCUAUUUACUCUUGAUAUAUCACAUUUCUGACAGGAUAAAAUUUCAUAAAUCUUUCUAAAUGUUUGUUUCUGCUGUUCUCUACAAACAUAAUGCAAAUGGUGUUUUUGUAGUCCCAGUUCAAUUAAAAAAUAAAGCUGGUUUGGAAUUGGAACAUGACUCUCUCUUUCUCUAAACCUAAGCUUGUUGUUAAAAGAAAAUUCAGUCUCUGUUUUGUAACAGAAAAGCCACCUGUAUGGGACAGAAAGUAACCAAAAUUGAGGGACUAUUGUUGUUACAAAUCUCUUAGCCCUCAAAUUUAUUUUGACUCUUUAAAAUGUUUCUUUAGGUACAGUACCACCUUAAAAUUUAAACUUUCUGUUUUGAUAUUAAUGAUGUUUAAGUUUUCUACAGUGAAUGAUAAACUUUCCUAACAGUGAUCUCUGAAGUCUCCAAAAAGAUGAUGGAGCCCUACAACAAUGAUUCCACCUGGACUAUGUGAGACAUGUCUGCUUCUGGCAGCACCAGUCUACUUCAGAGAAGAUGAUGGGCAUCAAAGAAACUCCACAUUAAGUUUACUUUCUUUGUGGAAAAAGUUAGCCACCGGGUAAGAUAAUGCUCUUGCCUCAACUGCUGACAGUAUGCUGUCCAAACUGGACAAGCAGGACACAAAAGGAAGUGACUACAGAACUUUGCCAAGACAAGAGACUAUGAUGAAUGCUUUCAUAUGGAGAUGAUAUGACUAUGCAUAUGCAACUAUGUUCAUAGCCUCAGUAUUGACCUGACUAGGAUGACAGGAAAUGAAGAAAUGAUAGACAACAUAUACAGAAAAGCUGGAAUCAGAUGAGCCAUGUGCUCUGACGGAAUUGCACCAACAGCAACCCAGAAACUCAACACAUUUAUUAUAUAAGUACAAAUGAGGGGAUAUUAUGGUGUCAGAACACGGUCCAGGAAUACAGUCAUGUGAGGGAAUUCUAAGUGCCUGUGAAAACACUCCAAGAAAACAAGACAAGGAUCUUGAGACCUCAGUUUCUUCAAAAACGUGGAAUUAUUCUUGGAAUGUGUUUAUAUAUUCCUCCCAGGUGUAUUGGAUAGGAGUAAGUUUACUUCAAAUCAUUCAUUAUUACUUGCUGUUGUUAUUCAAUUAAAUGUUUACAUUCCUCUACAGAAAAACAUGUUUUUGCUACUUGUGGCUUGUAUAUAGCAUGAUUGUAUACAGCAUUGUAUACAGCUUGACUGUAUACAGCGUGAACUCAUGAGCACUUCACUAUGUGGCCUUUCUUAACCCUCAGAGUAUAACUCGUCGGAGGCUCUGGAUAAUGUUGGCUACUGCAUGAGACUUUAGUCUGCCUCAUUUUUUGGCUCCACUCUCCCAGGUCCCACCACCUCUAGAGCAGUGACAUUAUGGUAUUGUGUGGGCUUUUUGUUUCGUUUUGCUAUUUUUGUCUUGUCAUUUUUUGUUUCGUCACUGUUGUUAGUUUGUUUUAGUUUUCAUUUUUUGAUUUUUGAGUUUUUCUUUUUCUUUCUUUCUUUUUUUUUUUUUAAAGAGGGAAUCAGAGAAAGAAACAGCACUAAGCUGAAGCUGGGUGAGAUGGGAGGAGUUUGGGAAGGGAAGGAAUACGAUCAAAAUAUAUUGUAUGAAAAAAAAUUUAAAUAAAAUAUUCCCAUAUUUUGUUCAACAUGCCCCCAGCUAAAAGCUAAGGGAGUAGUGAUCAGUCCUAAAGUCAAGGGAAAAGGGGAGUGAUGGGCUCAAGGAUAAUUUCAAGACAAAAUCUGUACUGCACGUUUGCAUGGAGCUUACUAACAUUGGCAUUGAAUAGGGUUCUUCUAAAUAUUUACCAGAAAAAUUUAAAUGUGGUCUGAAUAUACAAUAUUAAUAAUGCUAAAAUAAACAAACUUGAAUAAAAUUUCUUCUGUAA